rnacentral:lncRNA from 1 species
ACGAAAACCCACAACGGAGGCCCCGGCCUCCCCGACUCCCACCAGGGCGGACCCCCAGGGGGUGCAGUCACGUCCCGGGGAGGGCAAAUGGAACAAAGGGGGCCGCGCUCGUUGGGGCCGGACGCUCGGGCGGGACGUCCCUGGCCUGGGAGCUGGACGGCGGAGAGCGGAGGAGGAAUGGAGAGAGACGCAGAGGCAGAGACCGGCUCCAUCCGAGUCCCAGCGAGGAGGGAGGCGCGCAGCCGCACAGGCGGAGUCCGGGAGGCACCGCCAGGGUCCGCCGGGUCAGUCACUUCCACUAGAGCCCCCUCCAGGAGGCUGCGAGACCCGGGGGACACCCGUGAUUCGGGGCGGGGGCCCUGUGCGCAGCUCGCCGGCUCCUCACCGGCCUCUCCCGGGGCCGCCUGCCUGGGCGCUCACAUCCCGGGGGCCCGGACCUGAUGCCCUCAGCAGGGGAUGGGUGGGGCGCGCCCUUCGGACCAGUCUGCACCUGGGAAUGGAGCCCCAGGCUGUGGGGGCCUCCUGGCCAACCAGGGGCCACCUGGCCCAGCUUCGGCCACAAAUCCGGGCGCUGUGCUCCCAGGGACACCGACCGAGGGCGCCAAGGAAGCAGUGGGGAGCCCAGGACACGACCGCGGACUGGAGGGGCCGCCGCGGGGUCGCGCCGGGCUGCACCGGGCGUCCGACAGCCGGAGAUCGUGCUCCGGGGGCAGCGCCGGCGUCCUGCCGCCCUGCUGCGUCCACCGGGAGACUCCGGGGCCUCCCGCGGGCAGCCGGGCAGCCGGGCAGCCGGAGCGGGCUCCUGGACCCGUGCGGAAGGGUGAGACAGGGAGCUGAGCUGCGUGCCCCGAGUUCCUGGCGACGGAUGCUGCUGGAGCCUGGUCCCGCGCGCCCUCUAGGGCUUCCUGGGCUUCGUGUUAGCCCUGCUGAGACACCCAGGAUGCUGGCUCAGUAUGGGGCAGAGCCAGCUUCGUGAGCCCAGCCGGACUGACUCCAGUUUGCACCCACUGUCUGUGCUUCAAAGUUGGGCUCCUGGCUCCUAGCCCCACCCACACAGCAGACAGCCCCUCUUUCUACCUCCUGGCUCCCUCCAGCUGAGGACCUCAGAGCCCACAGGCAAGGAACCCUCUCUACAGGUCAGCUUUUCACUAUUCCAUUGAAAGCCGUAGCCCUUCUUCCACUGAAUUUGCAGCUAUGGACCCUUUCUCUGUUUGAGGCAGUGACGGACACAGGCUGGGUGUCCAGGUGACGACUGAAGGUCUGGACGGGUCUGCUGGCUGACUGGCUUCCUGGCAGGCAGAGGGGAGUUUCUAGACAAGGCAUCUGCACUCUCCUCCACCUUCUCCUGCACCUGUGGCCCUGGCAGCCUCCAGGGACACCUGCUGGAGACCUACUGCAGAGGCGACCCUCCUCCUCAAGACCUCUCCGCCACAGGUGCUCAGUGGUGAGCGGAGGUCGCCAGGCCACCUUGGAACUGUGCCCUCAUUGGCCACAAAGUUAAAUAAAAUGGUUGCGUUGUAGUGAUAACCUCUCUGACUUGGGCUUUCAUUGUCCCGCUUGAGGUCCCAAAGUCCCCAUGACCAAAGCUGUUCCCGAAAACCAUUUCCUGUCUGUACGGUGGAGAGGGUGUUCCUGGAGCACUGGAACCUGCCUGGUUCGAGAAGGCAGAGAGCCAGAGUGGAUGGCAGCUCCCUGCAGGACCUGCGCUGGCCCCAGAGGCCUCUGCCCAGGCGGGUUUGUGGUAUCCUUACCAGAACUGGCAGUGGUGCAUCUGCAGACUGUCUGAGGCCACCACGAAAGCAACAGAAGAACAGAGAAGGGCCCCAGGUGGGAGUGUGGAGGGCUUUUGAAGGUGGGGAGAGUGGGAUGGAGCAGAGAUGAAGGGAUGUGUCUGUGCUGGCCCUGGAGCGGCAGCGAGAGGAGACUCCUGGGUACCCCAUAUCCCCCUUGGCCGCUGACCGGGAGCCGCAGCCUUUGGAAAUAACACCAAAUUUGUUUUAUUGAAGUAGAUUAUAGGUACUUCCUAAAGUCCAGUGAAACCUAUUUUGGAAAACAGCGUGGGUCUGCUCCCCCCUACCCCCCCC